rnacentral:rRNA from 1 species
CCUACGGGAGGCAGCAGUAGGGAAUCUUUCACAAUGGGCGAAAGCCUGAUGGAGCAACGCCGCGUGCAGGAUGAAGGCCUUCGGGUUGUAAACUGCUUUUAUAAGCGAGAAAUAUGAUGGUAACUUAUGAAUAAGGAUCGGCUAACUACGUGCCAGCAGCCGCGGUCAUACGUAGGAUCCGAGCAUUAUCCGGAGUGACUGGGUGUAAAGAGUUGCGUAGGUGGCAUAAUAAGUAGCUAGUGAAAUCUGGUGGCUCAACCAUUCAGCCUAUUAGCUAAACUGUUAAGCUCGAGACCGUUAGGGGUAACUGGAAUUUCUAGUGUAGGAGUGAAAUCCGUAGAUAUUAGAAGGAACACCAAUAGCGUAGGCAGGUUGCUGGGACGGUUCUGACACUAAGGCACGAAAGCGUAGGGAGCAAACGGGAUUAGAUACCCCUGUAGUC